CGCGGCCUAUCAGCUUGUUGGUGGGGUAGUGGCCUACCAAGGCGGCGACGGGUAGCCGGCCUGAGAGGGUGACCGGCCACAUUGGGACUGAGAUACGGCCCAGACUCCUACGGGAGGUAGCAGUGGGGAAUAUUGCACAAUGGGCGAAAGCCUGAUGCAGUGACGCCGCGUGAGGGAUGACGGCCUUCGGGUUGUAAACCUCUUUCAGCAGGGAAGAAGCCACAAGUGACGGUACCUGCAGAAGAAGCACCGGCUAACUACGUGCCAGCAGCCCCGGUAAUACGUAGGGUGCGAGCGUUAUCCGGAAUUAUUGGGCGUAAAGAGCUCGUAGGCGGUUUGUCGCGUCGGCUGUGAAAACCCGGAGCUCAACUCCGGGCCUGCAGUCGAUACGGGCAGACUUGAGUAUUGCAGGGGAGACUGGAAUUCCUGGUGUAGCGGUGAAAUGCGCAGAUAUCAGGAGGAACCCUGGUCCGAAGGCGGGUCUCUGGGCAAUAACUGACCAUGAGGAGCGAAAGCGUGGGGAGCGAACAGGAUUAGAUACCCUGGUAGUCCACGCCGUAAACGUUGGGCGCUAGGUGUGGGGGCCAUUCCACGGUCUCCGCGCCGCAGCUAAGGCAUUAAGUGCCCCGCCUGGGGAGUACGG
rnacentral:rRNA from 1 species